CCCAAAGUAUAGAAUGAAAUAUUACACUGACUCACUUACCGUUUUAAUGUUUCCAGAUGUAUGAUAUCAGGACGAUGAGCUGACAGAACUGACAAGUUGAACGUUGUCCAAUUAGAACGGACCCACCGCGGUGACGCUUUUGGUGGAGCUGGUCGUUUAAUAGUCGACUUGGAAGAAAGCAAACGUUUUGACAAUAAACUCCAUCAACACAACAGUAUAUAUCUUCAGAGGCCAUAAGGUCCAGGCAGAACCCUUUUUUU